CACGUAGGGCGCAAGCGUUGUCCGGAAUUAUUGGGCGUAAAGAGCUUGUAGGCGGUUUGUCGCGUCUGCUGUGAAAUUUCGGGGCUCAACCCCGAACUUGCAGUGGGUACGGGCAGACUAGAGUGUGGUAGGGGAGACUGGAAUUCCUGGUGUAGCGGUGAAAUGCGCAGAUAUCAGGAGGAACACCGAUGGCGAAGGCAGGUCUCUGGGCUAUAACUGACGCUGAGAAGCGAAAGCAUGGGGAGCGAACAGG
rnacentral:rRNA from 1 species